rnacentral:rRNA from 1 species
UACAGAGGGGGCGAGCGUUAUUCGGAAUUAUUGGGCGUAAAGGGCGCGUAGGCGGCCUGGCAAGUGGAAGGUGAAAUCCCUCGGCUUAACCGAGGAACUGCCCUCCAAACUGCUUGGCUUGAGUCCGGGAGAGGUGAGUGGAAUUCCCAGUGUAGCGGUGGAAUGCGCAGAUAUCAGGAGGAACACCGAUGGCGAAGGCAGGUCACUGGGCCGCAACUGACGCUGAGGAGCGAAAGCAUGGGGAGCGAACAGG